AUAAAAUAAUGGAAGACAAGGGAACGGAAUAAGAUAAAAAGAAGAAGUGGAAUGAACGGUUGUAACGCGAAACGGACGAACGAUCGUAAAAUUCGGAAUCGCUCUUUAUUUAUUAUUACCGUUUAUUUUAUCUGCUUCAACAGCUUUGAACCUGGUGGUAGGGUCCACGCUGUGUAAUGACCUCCCCCGUUCCUACCAACCCCCACGCUCAUUACCCGAGACAACACGAAUCAGCGAUUAUAACCGCUGGAUAAAAAAAAAAAAAAAAAAACAGAAAAAAGAAAUUGAACAAGGAAACGAAAUAUGCUCGGCAAAAUAGUAUUUUGUAAAGCUGCCAACACGUGUUCGAAGAAUUUCCACGUGGGUCGAACGUCACGUGAAUUAUUAACUGGAUCAUACGCGUAGGCUAUAUAGUAGAUAAUUUUCGUAAACCGUACGGUUAAUAUGGUCGGUGACCGAUUGAUUGAAUAUUUUUUUCUCCACUACAUCAAUCCGUCGGAGUAUCCAGUCUGACGUGGGCAAACGAAAGACGGGUAAAAAAUCACGCUUUCCAUCCAUUAGUCGUAUUUACGCUUCAAUUCGCGUAUAAAGAAAUUCGACGUCUCAGAUUCGGCUCCGCUAGAAGGAGAUGUAUAUCAAUUUUUUUGUUGUUUUUUAUUAUUUUCAUCGCACACCAGGUUUCACUCGGUUUAGCGACUUUAAACACCCCCCAUCGUAACGGCUGAUGGUCGAACGUACAUGUAAAUCCUGGAUGCAAAACCGUCUAUUUCGAGGCGGCUGUUAUAUACUUGUGAUUUGUGAGCACGCUGCAUUUGCGGGCGUGACGCACGCGGUUUAGUUUAGUCACCCCCGACCACCGCCGUACAGCAGCGGACCACAUGCUGUAAGCCGCAGACCAAAAUCAUGUAAACCGCGUAGGUGCGUAGGUAUGAUAACCCCCGGCUUACGCGUAACCUCCGACGAUCGUCGCGACGUAUUGAAAUUGGAUCGCCGAGUUUCAGCGUUUCGAAAAUUUUUCCAACGAGACCCGACGGAUGGGGUUGAGCAAUUUUUUGACAAAAAUCCGAUCGCUUGUUCGAAACGUCAUUUUUAUUCAACGGAAGGCGCAAGGAGAUUUCGGAUUGCCUCAUGUGCGACGAUAUACACACACGAUAAUUUACCGAUCCGUGGUGCAGCGCGUGUAUUUUAUUUAGCGUGAUUUAACGUACGUUGUGUAUACGUACGCGAAAUGUUUCGCGUUAACAUUCUCCCAGGAAAUGGAGAAUCUGAAACGUCUCAAUUAGGCCCUUUCAUCGACCUCGUACACCUACGUCAAUUCAAUUCUUGGAACAAGUUUUGCUUGAAAUCAUCUCACGCACACCGAAAAGAGUCAGGACCUUUUUCGUGGACGAAAUCCGUAGGGGGAAAAUAUUUUUGCGAAACAAAAAAACAAAAAAAAAUCAUUCACUUCGCCGCCUGGGGAAACAUCAAACUCGCGGUAUCGAAUUGGUUCAAAGAUAAUUUGAAAAUAAAAAGCCAAAAAGACGGCUUCUCGAAGAUUGAAUAAAUUGGUAGGUGGGUGUGCUUUUUUUUUUUAUUACCAUAUGAAGAUUUUGCGGAGGUGAGUCCAGGUACCUCAAAAAAACAAAUGGGAGAAAAAAAGGAAGAGGAAAAAAAUUCAAUGAAAAUAUUCAACCCGACUAAAAAACUCGCGCACAAUUUUCAAACUCAACGCCCACUUUCGCCACUUCACAUAGGUUGAAACGUAAAUCGUUUCUUCUCAAUAACCGUAAAUUUAUUCCCGUCCCUGAUUAAUCGGGGUAAUUUUCAUUUGAGAAAUAAAUCGCUGCGAUCUCGACAUUGUAUUGUAUAGGUAUAACUGUACGUGUACUAAUAUGCUUUUAUGUUGGAGUGGUGCUUUUUUUUUUCAGAAAAUUUUUUCAUUACUUUUUGUUUUACCACACCGCACGUUUUAUGAUCCCCAUAUAAUAGCACCCGCGCAGUGUAUUAAAUCUGCGAUGAAUUUUCGUGUAAAAGCAAUUAUAUUUGUACCAGCUGCUGUGGCAGUUAUUAAUACGGAACCGCAGCGGAGAACUAUAGAUAUAUUUUGCGAAAUGGUUUGCUUUUAAUUGUGUUUUUUUCCUUUUGAUUUUUUCUUAUUUUUUUUCCCGAGUUGCAGCGAAAGAGUCGUCCACGUUGCGUUGUAACGUUCGAGCAAUGCGUUCGUUUACGACUUAUUAUACGGUACGUGCGCAAGUUCAAGGGAUAAACAACAAGUUUGAGAGAACGAAUGGAACUUAUAAAUACUGUAUAACUAAAGCAUAAACGUUGUUAACGUCAUAACAAUGAAUUUAACAUAGUUUUUCGUGAAAAAUCAUAUCGGGAUUUGGCACCACUCGGGCCAUUAAGUUACCACAUAAAGGCGGAAGCCUCGUCCAAGCAACCCUCGGGAACUUCAAAUCGACAAUAACUCCGACCCAAAGCACCAGAGGUUAUAAUGACGUUCCAAAACUGAGGUCGGACGCAUUUUGUGGUCCGGUGGCUUUUAUUAUGUAAUACAUAUACACACCCAUACGAUCCUGGAAAACAAUAUUCUUCGAAAAAUACAUGGACGUUAAACCUGUGACGAAAUCCCGCCGAGGUUCACGGAUCGAUUGCCGGGUAUGACGUCAUCUGGAGUUCAGGGGUUGAGAGAAGCGAGAGGAAUAAAAGGGGAUGAGACGGGGGGAACGGCACCUGUGACGGUGAGCCUACGUCACGCAGGAAUACAAAUAGCGGGUCGAAGAUCCGGAUACCGGCGCGUUAUCCCGAGAAAUAUUUGACUUGCAAACGACAAACGCAUUUUAUCAUUAGCGCCCUUUCGAUUCCGAUCUUCGCAUCUCGCGAAAUCGUGAGAUUUUUUAAAUUCGAGGAGUUUCUCGUUGUCGCAAAAAAAAUGGAAAUUUGCUAAUCCGUCAUCUCCCGACUGAGAUCAACCCUUAACGCAGACGAAGGGAGGCGGGGGAUGAAACCGAGAGUUGCCGUAAAAAUGACGUCACAAUCGUCAUGGCAACCCCCUCCCGAUGAACUUUACAACGCAACUGCAACGUCCUACGUAAUGAUAAUAACGAAGAACACUCUCACGUCCGACUGCAGAAACUCGCAUGAGCACGUGGCUGAAGAAAGCGUCCUGCGCAAAUGGCAGCCAGAGUUGGUCCAUCCGAGGAUACCGGAAUCUUCCAUUUUCAGAUCACAGAGAAUCCUCGUAAUGAGCGCAAUAUUCGAGACGAUGAAGAAAAAGCACACAUCCCUCUGCGAUCAUUAAUUUAUAACAAACUCAAACAGGAUAAAUAUGACCAUGAGUCUCACGGCACUUGUUAAUAAUAAUCAGGACUCAAAAUAUUUUAUCCUGAUUUUUUGAAUACUCUGUGAAAGUUUGAAUACUUUUCUGAUCUCUGAGCAGCCUCGAACGAGUCAAUGAUUAACGAAAUAAUAUUUAUUCAUUGCUGUUGCUUUAUCAAAUGAAUAAGCAAAUAAAUUUUGGGGUUCUUAUUGUUAAUAAACUUUUGAUUUGCUAAGUGUAUUGCGAGCCCAGAAUUUUGCAUACUCCGAACGAGUCUUGUUAAUAAAUUAACAAAAAUCGGCUGAAAACAUUAGUAAUAAUUGACUACACAUUUAGUGCUGGCCAUCGUGAUUUGUA